rnacentral:rRNA from 1 species
GAUGAACGCUGGCGGCGUGCUUAACACAUGCAAGUCGAACGGGAAUUACUUUAUUGAAACUUCGGUCGAUUUAAUUUAAUUCUAGUGGCGGACGGGUGAGUAACGCGUGGGUAACCUGCCUUAUACAGGGGGAUAACAGUCAGAAAUGGCUGCUAAUACCGCAUAAGCGCACAGAGCUGCAUGGCUCAGUGUGAAAAACUCCGGUGGUAUAAGAUGGACCCGCGUUGGAUUAGCUGGUUGGUGGGGUAACGGCCCACCAAGGCGACGAUCCAUAGCCGGCCUGAGAGGGUGAACGGCCACAUUGGGACUGAGACACGGCCCAGACUCCUACGGGAGGCAGCAGUGGGGAAUAUUGCACAAUGGGGGAAACCCUGAUGCAGCGACGCCGCGUGAAGGAAGAAGUAUCUCGGUAUGUAAACUUCUAUCAGCAGGGAAGAUAGUGACGGUACCUGACUAAGAAGCCCCGGCUAACUACGUGCCAGCAGCCGCGGUAAUACGUAGGGGGCAAGCGUUAUCCGGAU